CCCCUCCCCAGUGUGUAACAGCGCCACCUGCAGGCUUCCGGCAGAACGAACAGAAGGCGCAGCUCAUGCGCCCUGGGCACUGAAUUCCCCCGGGGAAGGUAAAAAAAAAAAAAAAGUGCUUGAGUCGCGUGGGCUGCAGGGGGCGCGAGCAGGCAGCGAGUCUCGACGGGCAAGGCCGGCGUUAGCCCGCCGGUGCCGUCAGCACGCUGCAGCGAAGGGGCCGGCUUCAUGCAAAUAGAGAGAACCUUUCAGGCGGAGAAACGAGUGACGAGGCGGCCGCGAACAAGCUGGAGGAACGGAGCAGUUUUGAAGCUGAAUUUUCAGGCCGGAGGCGGUUGGCUUUGGUUGGUGAGAAUGGAGCGGAGAGCUCAUUAUGCAGUGUUUGUGACAUGCUUUACAGCUGUGAAGUGCUCAGCCUUACUCUUCUGUGAAAGGUUUCAGAGGGGCAGCCCUGUGAGUCUGUAUCAGCAAAAACAACGAGGAGUCAACGAGAAACUGCAGCGCUGGAAUUAAUUUGCAAACCUGACACCAUCAAAUUAGGCCUGAAUAGAGACUGGGAGCGACUGGCUCACUACAACAAGUAAUUUCCCCUCUGUUGAUAGUCACACCUGCUUGUCAACUGUUGGGAAUUGGCCUCGUGAGCCCUGACCCGCCCCCCAACUUGAGUCAGUGGGGGACAAGGAGCUCCUUGGCACCAAGGAUUCAAGAUCUACAACAAAGACUAAAGGCAGGAAAGAGGUAGACGAGCAAAGUUACGGGGUUGGAGUCUUUAUUAUUAUUAAUAUUAAUAGCACAGUAGCACCUGGGAAGCCAGCUGAGGUUACAGAUCCAUUGUGUCAGGCCCAGCACAGACGUAGCUUGAGAAGCAGCCUUUGCUCCACAGACCUCAGUCUGUUCCCCCCGCUCCUUUGAGAGGGGCAGGGGGCCAUAAAACUAGAGAUCAGACUUCUCCAGAAAAUUAGAAAAAUUAGGUGAGUAACACCUUCUGCACUGGUAGGGGGGGCAAAUGCUGUGGUGAUCCUAUUGUAUAGUUAUGCAGGGCACCGGCACCCACCAGUCACUGAUCUUUUACCUAAGAACAAAAUAGUUCAGUUGUCCCCUAAACAGAACAAACCCUCCGAAACCCAAACGUGUGGGUCCCGCUCCCACUUAGGUUCAGAGAACAACUCGAAGAGCCUUUACUGAGCUUUGCGUGCAGUUGAGCGGCUUUCAGACAUUCCUUGCUACCCGCUAAUAAUAUCUGAGAAGCGAAACCAGUCAGUCCUCUGGCUUCUCUGCAGCUGAAUAGCCACAGAGGGCUCUCAGGUCCCUUUCCUCCAAGCUGCCUCUUUGACUUUACACAGAAACAAUAAAAAGGGGUUGCCUGCAAUUCCACUAUCCCCGUCUCCAACUGUGGCCAGUACCAGCUGUUUGACAGAAAGGUGGGAGAAGCCCCAGAAUGGGCAGCGGUGGAACCAGCUGCCCACAGAUACACUCAAAGGCCUUGAUCCUGCAAGGUGCCAAGAGCCCUGACAUUCUCCAAAACCCACUGGUGCCACCCCACCCGCUCCCCUUUGGACAAGCAAGUACACGCAGAGGACAGUGUUUGCCGAUGCUUGGAACCCUACAGACAUAGGAACCCCUCGAGACAUAGAGGAAACCCACGGAUCACCACACCUAUCUUCACAGAUCCAGAAAUCACCCCAAACACACCAAGCAAUCUGUUGUCUACUGGCGGGCACUCAGAUCCCACAGAAUACGCUCUGAGGGACAGGCGCCUUAACACGCUCAAAACCGCCUUCGCCAAAGGGGGACACCCCACCAGAGAAGUACAUCGCAUCGUGGAAUGGGCCACCCAGAUACACCAAGGAAACGUGCUUCAAUACAGAAAUAAAACCCCCACCGACCGCACACCCCUAGUGGUCACCUACCACACCCUACGCUGCAACCCAUAGGGGGUAUCAAACAACUAAAACCCAACAAAUCUUUCCUGAAGCCCCACUUCUGGCCUUCAGAACAACCCCUAAUCUCUCCAAGCUCAUCAUCAGAAGCGAGCUCCCCACAGACCAGGACACACCAACUCACAGCAGCACCAGACGCAAAACCUGCAGACACAUCUCCACUGCUACAACGACCAACACACUCCACAACACGCCUUUCGAGAUCCACGGGUCCUACACGUGCCAAUCACAACAUGUGGUUUACCUCAUCCAGUGCACCAAAUGCCCCAACAACAACUAUGGGGGUGAAACCAGAGAAUCACUAUGCUCACAGACGAACAGGAAAACGAUAAGACAAGACCACCGCGUCAUCUGUGGGUGAGCACUUCUCACAGAGCAAUCACUCUUGUCUGUGAUCCAUCAGCCCUCAUCCUCAAAGGAAACCUGCA